UUUUAUUUAUAAUGAAAUAGGCUGCUGCGUAUACAAGGCCUGUACACUUCGGUAGCUUGUAAUCUAGAUAAAUAUCAGUUGGGUAUUUUAUCAGGAAACAGGGAGAUAAACACAAAAACAGAGCAAGGCGGUGGAUAAAUUGGGGAUCGAGCCAAUUAGGGUUUCUCCUCCUUUUCUUGAUCUCAAUCGAUCAAGCAGCGGCCCAGGUGAGAACUGAUUGCCUCUGUAUGUUUAUACAUAUGUGAUUGUUGUGUGCUGCGAUUGGUGGCGGUGGCUGUGGGUUUAGCAUCGGAGAUGGGGAGUUGCAGGAGAGUUGCGAGGUUGAAAGGAAAAGGGAAGAAGGGAGGGCUGGUGGCGCUGGAUGGUGUGGUGAAGCGUCGUCGCGCCUUGGACAGCCAGCGGUGGUUUGGUCAGAGUCGAUUGCAGCACUUGUGGGUUAUUCUGGUCGAGCUUCGUCGGCAGCAAUGGGGAAAUAGAAGGCUGGGAAAGGAUGGAGAAAGGGGGCGCUAACGGAGAGGUUAUGAGAACAAGCAAAUCGAGAUGAUGGUGGUUCAUUGUUGGGUUGUAGAGUUGGCGACAGAUAUGGCUGUGUUGCCGAGAGAGAAAAUAGAGGUAAGGGGUUUGGCUGUUCGGAAACAGAGGGGGCAGCGCAAGAGAAAGAACAGGGGAACGGUGCUGGUGUGUACAGGCCGGCGUUAGUCGCCGGAGUUAGGGUGGCUGACGAGGGAAUUUGAAGAAGAAAGAAAGUGAAGCUUUUCAUGUGUGUUUUGUUGUGUAUAUGUGUGUGCUUGUAUCUGGUGAUGAAAGUCGUGUUGGAUUAGUUUGUAAUCGAAGAGGGGCUGUGGUGUGGUUGAAUGGGCUGAGUUCAGUGAAGGUCGGAGGCGUGGCGGCACUGAACUGCCAUGGCUGGGUGAGAAAGAAAGCAAAGGUAAAAGGCGGAACAAAGGUUGUCAAUUGGAAUUUUCGAGAUCAGAGGACAGGCGUGUGUUUAUGUGUGUGUUUUAUAUUGAAAACCAAUGGUAGACUGUGGUUAUGAAGAUUGAUUGAGGUGUGUGUAUGGAUGCUCGAAACCAUUGGCUAACGAGGAAUUGUGAAUGGGUGGUAGACGGCGCCGUGAGGUUACCGAAAGUGAUUAGAAAUGGAAGGAGGACGCUGUAUGGAACAAUGAGAUGGAGAAAGUACUGGGUCAAAGCAGAAGAAUGGAUGAAGGUUGGGAGUAAUUGGUGGGUGAGAAAGUGGAAUGAAAUAGGAGUUGCAGUUGAAUUGAGUUGGUUUAAGUAAAAUGAAAGGAAGCUAUAGUAUUAGCGGGGGAGUUAGUUAAAAUCAGCUGGUGGGGGAAGUUAUUUGAAAAGGAAGAAUGGUGAAGUAGGAGUGUAUGAGUGUUACGAGCUGCAGAGAAAGAAUACAAUGAUGCCAAGAGAAUAAAAUAUGAAUGUUAUUGUUAUUAAAAUUGUUAUUAUUGUUUUUAUUAACAAUGAUAAUGACAAUAAUAAUAACAAUUUUUUUAUAUUUUAUUGAGCCAAUCAUAGGUAGUUAUCUGUUUUGUAUCGUGGAAUUGUAUAUAAAUUGUAGUGUUAUUUAAAUUCCGGAUUAUAUUUAUUAAUUUAAAAUCUGCGACAAUUAUAAAUUUAAUUUAGAAUUCCAGAAGUUGUUAUCUACUUCUGAAAAUCAAUUAUUGAUUUCAGAUUAAAUAUUUUAUAAUGUUGUCGCGUAGAUUAAUAGUUAAAUCCCGGAAUUGGUUGUUGAUGAUAAAUAGUUGUUGAUUUUAAUUGUUGACCCUGCCUGAUCUUUUAAUGUCAUGCUAUAUAUAAGCUGACGUUUGGACGAGUAAUCUGUCAUUUUGACAAAUCUUUAUAUUAUUUUGAGAUAUGAAUUAUUGUGUUGUUGGUUUUGAGGUUGCUCGAUUUUAAAAGAUGUACUGUCCUAAAUUAUAUUAUUUUAUUAAUUUAGUUUGAUGAGAUUUCGAGCUGAUUUAAGAUGUGAUUGAAUUACAAUUGGAUUUGUAAUUCGGAUUUCAAUUUUAUCCGGAUAUGUAUUUUGAGGUGAUUAGUGUUUGUAUAUAAUCAAGUAUGAGAUUAUAUACACGGGUUAUCAGAUUAUAUUUGGUAUGAAUAUUAAAGCAUGCAAAUUCUCUGUUAUGUGCUAAUGUGCUUAAUUGUAAAACUAUGUGUAUAUAUUAAUUGCAUAUAAUAUAUUUAUAUUGCGAAGGGUAGUAAAUAUAAUUUCGAUAAUGCGCUUUGGAAAAUGCUCUAGAUUGUUCUUCAAACUGAGUAUUGCUUUGCUGUCAUACACAGAUUAUCGAGACGCGUGCAUUCAACAACUUCAGAAGCAAGCAAAUAGCGUGACACGGCAAGUCAGAAAUAUUUUAAUAAGGCGAUAUUGUGCCGUAAGAUAGUCCAAUAGAUUAUAGUCAUUUCAGAAUUAGCGAUUGAGGCCAAUCUAGGAAUCUCGAGUAGGUGACUGGGUGUCACCUGUUUCUGUCAAAGGCAAGUAUUUCUAAUCUUCUCUUAUUUAUUAAGAGCAAGUGAUUCUAUUCCACAACUUUUAAUUAUUGCCAAUGCAACUAUUAUAUUCUGUAUUUCAAUUCAUAGAAUAUCAUAUGCUUGGAAUAUAAUUAUUGUUCGGUAUUCCAUUAUAAGAUACACCAUACAGAUACUCAAAUAAUGAUUGAAUUCAAUACAUUCCAAUGAUUGAAUUCACUACAUUCUAGUAAUCAUUCUACUAGAAUUCUCGAAUUACUUUCAAGAUAGAUAGUGAGAAACUAUUCUAUCCAGAUAUACUCCAUACAGUAUAAAUUUGAGUUCAUAAUAAGCAUAUAACUAAUUAUUCUAGUUAUGUUGCCAUCAAUUGUUGGGAUUACUCCGGACCAUGUGAAAUGGCGAGUUUGUUGAACAAGAGAGUUGAUUGAUUCAACUCCCUUAGGAAAAACAACAACAUUUUUUUUUGCGUAAGAGGCCGGGACGGCGGUCCAGUGAAGGGCUAUUUGGGUAUUAUUGAAAUAUGAUAAUACUUUGCUGCCAAAGGCCAAUGUGUUGCCUUAUAUUUGGUACCUGUGAAUUAGGACAUGCUUCUACGAAGUGUGAUCCCGUGCUAUCACAUGAACUGAUCAGCUGUGAUAGUACACCCGUCAGUGGAGAUUCCAAUCAAAAUUUAUGAUUUGAUUACUUAAGCUAAUAUUGCUUUUGUUUUCCAUUGGAUACUAUUGUUUCUUAUCUCUUUACUUCUCCAGAAAGUUAGUACUGAUGAAUGCUUUACAGUAAGCAUUAUAUAUAUAGAUAUAUAUUGCUGAGCCUUCCCGUUGCUCAUUCUUACUUUGUUGUUGCUGUGCUAAUCUUUGAGUUACAACUGUUUAGAUUUAAUUCAAAAGUUUGCUUCAUUUCAAAUACUCUGAUUUAAUUCAAAAGAAAUUAUAAUUUGUGGCUCUUGCCUUUCGCACUAUCUUGCUGAGCAUUUUCGCUCACUCUUGCCAUUAUUUCUAACCUUUUCAGCUAGGGAGUGAGAUAGUCACCUGUGUAAGCUGCGCGUAAGAUUGAUGCUAGGCGAGAUUGCCAGGGAGAUGUUUACAAGAGUAGUUCUGGUUAGAAUUGAUUUAUUUCGAUUCAGUUGUAAAUAGAUUUAUUUAUUGGUUAUCAGUUAUUCUUCUUAUCGAGGUUUAAUUGAUAAUGUAGUUUAAGUUGUAAUAAAAUUU
rnacentral:lncRNA from 1 species